rnacentral:rRNA from 1 species
CCUACGGGCGGCAGCAGUGGGGAAUAUUGCACAAUGGGGGAAACCCUGAUGCAGCGACGCCGCGUGAGUGAAGAAGUAAUUCGUUAUGUAAAGCUCUAUCAGCAGGGAAGAAAAUGACGGUACCUGAGUAAGCAGCCCCGGCUAACUACGUGCCAGCAGCCGCGGUAAUACGUAGGGGGCAAGCGUUAUCCGGAUUUACUGGGGGGAAAGGGAGCGUAGACGGCAGUGCAAGUCUGGAGUGAAAGGCGGGGGCUCAACCCCCGGACUGCUCUGGAAACUGGACGGCUGGAGUGCAGGAGAGGUAAGUGGAAUUCCUAGUGUAGCGGUGAAAUGCGUAGAUAUUAGGAGGAACACCAGUGGCGAAGGCGGCUUACUGGACUGUAACUGACGUUGAGGCUCGAAAGCGUGGGGAGCAAACAGGAUUAGAUACCCGGGUAGUC